rnacentral:rRNA from 1 species
UACGUAGGGUGCGAGCGUUAAUCGGAAUUACUGGGUGUAAAGCGUGCGCAGGCGGUUAUGUAAGACAGAUGUGAAAUCCCCGGGCUCAACCUGGGAACUGCAUUAGUGACUGCAUAGCUGGAGUACGGCAGAGGGGGAUGGAAUUCCGCGUGUAGCAGUGAAAUGCGUAGAUAUUCGGAGGAACACCGAUGGCGAAGGCAAUCCCCUGGGCCUGUACUGACGCUCAUGCACGAAAGCGUGGGGAGCAAACAGGAUUAGAUACCUGGUAGUCNAAGGGCUGAAUUCUGUUAA